GUAACUUUUUUUUAAAUUUAUUGCGAUAAGAUCAAAUAAAAAGGAAAAAGAUUAUUAAAUUUAUAUAAAUAAAAAAUUAUAUUUACCCCAAGGUUGCUCCACUGGGGCCUGAUGCCUCUCCCAGACCUCCUCCUCCUCUCAGUGUCAUUUAGGUUGUCCUCUUCCUCUCGUUGCACACGCGGAACACUCGCGAAUAAUACUAAAUUUGCGCGCGUGGACUUUUUAUUUGUAAAGUUUUCGCGCAAUACUGCGGCACUUCGGAUUUAUAAAACCCAUGAUAUGAGUUCCCAUUCAGAGGGAUUCCCGUGGAUUCAGCACCCCGAGUCGGCACGUAGAACGCACGCGUACCCGCCCCCGAACAAGGGCCCAGCCAACGGAUCAUCUUAAUCAGUCCCACUGGAUCUUAUAUCCAAGCGGCGUCGACAAGACACUCGGGCAGGAUAAGAGAAAAAGGUACUCAUUGCCGACGUCUAGCAUUUAGACGAAUCAGGAAAUGAGAGCCAGCCUCUCGUCACAAGCUUAACCUACAAGGCCAGGUUCUGACCAAGUCAGAUUAAACGUGAUUCACCCAGCUCGAACCCCAGAUCCAAAGAAUCCAAAAAGGGCAUCAAGGAUCUAAGAAAGCCUUAGGAUGGUGGACGAGAACAAGAGAAACGCGCGAACCCAAAGAAACUGAUCCGAACUCUAACCGCUUAGGACCGAACCGAUCGCCGGAGACAGAGCGUGUAAACUCACACAUCCAGACAACCGCGCAACAUGCAGACGAACAUGUCGUACAAGCGGCUCGGAAUUACCUCGUGCACGGGCACUUCGGCAUGAAACGUCGCGGUGCGGCGCGCACGCCCACCAUACGCAACGCCCCAGUAAGGAUAUUCACUGCCAAGCAGCGGGGGUGCGAUUCCCGGCCCUCGAAUUAGGAUUCUAUCGAAUGGGAGUUAUGAAAAGUUCAUUAGUCCAAUACUUAAACGGCACUCCCGGAAAAAAA